UUGUCAUUUACAAUUAGAUUAAUUCAGACACCUUUAGCUUUUUAGAUACAAUCAAAUUGAUGGGCUCCAUGGCAUUUUGC